UACGUGCAGUAUCCAUCUGAUGCAACGCUGAUGAGCUUACAAGGGGAGGACUCGGUGAGCAGCAAUGCUGGUCCGGCGGCGGCGGGUAUGUCAGUUCUUGGAGACCUGGUGGCCGAAGGAGCUGGCGGUGUGGAGGAUGCGGUACCCGCUGAUUCAGCAGAGUCCACUGGGCACGGGAAUCCCAGUUCGCCUGGCUGGACAAAAAGGUACGGGUCGGCUGUGCCCCGCCAGACAGAACUCAUUGCGUGGACAUGCAAAGCGCACUAGAGAAAUUGGUCCGGUGUUAUGCAGAGAAGUUGGGAGACAAUGUCAUUGACCCUUCGCUUGGUACAAGUUUCGACUCCCUGAGUGAAGCCUACGAUUUUUAUAACCUGUACUCCUGGGAGCAUGGCUUUGGGAUCAGAUAUGGAAAGAGCCGGUUAAACGCAGAGAAAACAAAAUGCAUGCUAGAAAUCGUCUGCGGUUCCUCGGGGAAACCCACUGCGGAGAAUACAAGGUCCUGUCGGUGUGAAUGCCCUGCCAUGAUCCGGCUGCUGAGAUCCGUAGAUAAUGGUUGGCACAUUACAGAGCACCGGGUCACUCAUAACCUUGUGCUGACUGAGAUGUGAACAUAGACAUGUUCACAAAGGACUUGGUGAAACAGCUAAGAGCCAACAAACAUUAAUAUUGGCAAGGUUUACAACAUCAUUGGUAGCUACUUUGGAAGCGUUGACAACCUACCGUUCACGAAGCGAUCACUUCGUAAUUUGUGUGGCCAGCUUAGUCGAGAAGAGGCCAAUGAUGAUGUAAGAAAAACAAUUGAAGUUUUUGACCAGAUAGGUGCGAAGGACCCAGAUUUUGUGUUGAGAGUCCAGGCUGACACGGAUACCAGGAUCAAGAACCUCAGGGCGGCUGCAAUAUAAUAUUUUGGUGAUGUCGUAACAUUUGACACGACAUAUAAAACCAACCUGUGUGACAUGCCUUCCGGUCUAUUCGUAGGUGUUAAUAAUCACUUCCAGAGCAUGAUUUUAGGAGGGGUGAUGGUGAGGGAUGAGCAGGUGGAGAGCUUCGAGUAGGUGUUUACAGAAUUCAUCCGCAUGAUGGAGGUGUGCCU